UUGCACGCUGGCGGCAUGCCUUACACAUGCAAGUCGCACGGUAACGGGCCUUCGGGUGCCGACGAGUGGCGAACGGGUGAGUAAUACAUCGGAACGUGCCCGAUCGUGGGGGAUAACGAGGCGAAAGCUUUGCUAAUACCGCAUACGAUCUACGGAUGAAAGCAGGGGACCGCAAGGCCUUGCGCGGACGGAGCGGCCGAUGGCAGAUUAGGUAGUUGGUGGGAUAAAAGCUUACCAAGCCGACGAUCUGUAGCUGGUCUGAGAGGAUGAUCAGCCACACUGGGACUGAGACACGACCCAGACUCCUACGGGAGGCAGCAGUGGGGAAUUUUGGACAAUGGGCGCAAGCCUGAUCCAGCCAUGCCGCGUGCAGGAUGAAGGCCUUCGGGUUGUAAACUGCUUUUGUACGGAACGAAAAGCCUUCUUUUAAUACAGGAGGGUCAUGACGGUACCGUAAGAAUAAGCACCGGCUAACUACGUG
rnacentral:rRNA from 1 species